UAAGCGGAGGAAAAGAAACUAACAAGGAUUCCCCUAGUAACGGCGAGUGAAGCGGGAAAAGCUCAAGUUUCAAAGCUCCAUGGGCGACCAUGGCGCAUUGUAGACUAAAGGUGGCGCAUCCAUUUGUAUGGCCCGGGUAUAGAUCCGUUGGAACGCGGUAUCAUAGAGGGUGAGAAUCCCGUCCGUGACUCGGGUGUCCAUGCAUUGUUGUGUUGCGUUAUCGAAGAGUCGGGUUGUUUGGGAAUGCAGCCCAAAAUGGGUGGUAAACUUCAUCUAAGGCUAAAUAUUGGCACGAGACCGAUAGCGAACAAGUACCGUGAGGGAAAGAUGAAAAGCACUUUGAAAAGAGAGUCAAAAAGUACGUGAAACCGUUAAAAGGGAAACGAAUGGGGCUAGCAUUUGUACCUGGUCACAAUCAGCCGGACGCCUGUGUGGACGGGAUGGUGUUGGGAGCGUUCUCUUUACGGAGAUUGCCUCACGCUGUUCGGACUCGCAUGGGUGGGAAAGCCGGUGCACUUGUGAUCGGUAUCAGGCCAACAUCAGUUCGGUGAUUCUUGCCAAACGAAAGAGACAGGAACCUUUGAGGGAAGGUGGCUGUGGCUUGGCCUUGUGUCAUUUCGCAGUGUUAUAGCCCUCUAGGGAAAAUUUCUAUACGUCGCGGCCCGGACUGAGGAAACGCAGCAGCACGCUUUUUUUGCAGASUUCCGCUGGGGCGCAAGGCAGUCGUGACUGAGCCAAAAAGGGUCAGUGCCGGCUACUUUUCUCUCUUGCUUCCUUGUGUUGCAAGUGAGAGAUUGCGUCUCAUCUUACCAGCUACGGGAGUCUACGCAUUAUACGUGCUUGUGAUGUUGGCGAAAUGGCUUCAUCCGACCCGUCUUGAAACACGGACC
rnacentral:rRNA from 1 species